UAUACAUAAAUAAAUAAAAUAAAACUAACCAACAAAAAAUUCACUACAACAAUUAAUCCACCUAGAAAAUAAUAUCAAAUAAUUUGCAACCAUAAAACAGAGAAGAGAUAAAACUUAAAAAGAGAAAGAGUGAUAGAUAGGUUACUGAAGAACAUUUGAUGUGUUUGGGUUUGAAGUUGAUGGGUUUCUUGUUGGUUCACUGGUGGCAGCGAUCCGGUGGUGGUUCUGGGUUGUUGUCACUGCUGGAGUUUGGGGUUUUCGUGGUCAUUUGGAUCUUGCUGGUAGUAACGAUGGAGGUGUUUUGGAGCUCAGAGCUCUUCGCUAGAAACCUGAAAAAACAAAUCGAAAAUCAAAAAAUGGAAAAGGGGGAAGGAGGACUGGCGGCGUCUGUCGCUGGUUUCGUUGGGUUCUUCUUUUUUGUUUGGUUGGGGUUUAAGGGCUAUUGUUGAUGAGCUAAUGGUGGUUAGAACAAAUAAAUGGGUGUUGUUUGGUAGUCUAUGGUGUUUACCAAAUUUGGUGUGAGGGAGGAGGGUGUGAUUGGUGAUUGUUUGCUGGAAAAAGGGAAAGGGGUUGUAGGAUGGUUCGCCGGAAAAUGCUCCGGCGAGGGUGGUGGUCGGAAAAAUAUGAACACUAAAGAAUUUUCUUAAAGAUUAAAAAAUCUGAAAAUUACACC
rnacentral:lncRNA from 1 species